rnacentral:rRNA from 1 species
GCGCAGCAGUCGCGAAUCCUCCGCAAUACACGAAAGUGUGACGGGGCCAUCCCGAGUGCCGUCCGCUGAGGACGGCUUUUCCCCAGUGUACACAGCUGGGGGAAUAAGGAGAGGGCAAGCCUGGUGUCAGCCGCCGCGGUAAUACCAGCUCUCCGAGUGGUGGGGACGCUUAGUUGGGCCUAAAGCAUCCGUAGCCGGCUGGGCAAGUCCUCCGUUAAAUCCAACGAUUCAAUCGUUGGGCUGCGGGGGAUACUGUCCAGC